GGUGCAUUUCUUGGAUCAGGGCAGGGUGGAGGAAAGUCCGGGCUCCACAGGACAGGGUGCCAGGUAACGCCUGGGAGGCGUGAGCCUACGGAAAGUGCCACAGAAAAUAUACCGCCCCGAAAGGGGUAAGGGUGAAAUGGUGCGGUAAGAGCGCACCGCGAGCCUGGUAACAGUCUCGGCAUGGUAAACCCCACCCGGAGCAAGGCCAAAUAGAGGGGCUAUGGUGCGGUCCGCACUGUCCCCGGGUAGGCCGCUUGAGGUUUGCGGUGACGCAAAUCCCAGAUGAAUGAUUGUCCCAGACAGAACCCGGCUUAUCGGCCGCCUCCU
rnacentral:RNase_P_RNA from 1 species